rnacentral:piRNA from 1 species
UGGAAACUAGAACAUGUGGGACAGAUUUUCC